AGAGAAUGAUGUUUCUAAAAGUAGCCGCUAACUAACUUUUAAAGCGGUUAAAAUCCGUUUUUCUCUU
rnacentral:tRNA from 1 species